rnacentral:RNase_P_RNA from 1 species
UGCGGUAAGAGCGCACCGCGUGGCUGGUAACAGGCACGGCGAUGGUAAACCCCACUCGGAGCAAGACCAAAUAGGAAUCCAUUAGGUGUGACCCACACUGGAUUCGGGUAGGUUGCUUGAGGCAGUUGGUGACAACUGUCCCAGAUGAAUGAUUGUCCACGACAGAACCCGGCUUAUCGACUAACUUUUCAC